rnacentral:rRNA from 1 species
UGCGUAGGCGGGGCAAUUAGUCAGUGGUGAAAUCCUACGGCUUAACCGUAGAACUGCCAUUGAUACUGUUGCCCUUGAGUAUAGUUGAGGUGGGCGGAAUGUGUAAUGUAGCGGUGAAAUGCAUAGAGAUUACACAGAACACCAAUUGCGAAGGCAGCUCACUAAGCUAUAACUGACGCUGAGGCACGAAAGCGUGGGGAGCGAACAGGAUUAGAUACCCUGGUAGUCC